AGCAUGAUUGCAGCCAACCUCCUAGAGAUCAUAUUUCCCCACGGCAUAAAAAAAUAUUAGAAAAAUACAUGAUGAAAGCGAAGUUUCAUUCAGUCAUAUUCAUAUUCUCGUAUGUUAAUAUUAGCAAAAGAAAAGCCAUCCCGACAACCAAACCAAUUAUAAUUGUUAAAUGUAGCAACAGCCAAAUGAAAUCUUGUCCUCUAAAAGUAAUCAACCGGAAUGAGAAAAAAUAAAAUGGUAAGAUUGGUUCCACUUCUGUUGAGCAAUGACCACAUUGGCAUCAGCCGCAAAUUUCAAAUAAGUCAUUCAAUAGCGAACACAAAGAACACAAAUGACAAUUUUCUGCAACGAAAGUAAGGAUUUCAAUCUGUUCAUCACCAUUCCUCAGGUAGCAGAAGAAUAUGUAAUUUCACGGAAAUGCAAACAAAGAGACUGAUAGGUAAGAGUCAUGGAUUCCAACAAACUAACCGAAAAAAACAAAAGAAGAAGAAAAAUGACGAAUUUAAGGAAAACGGUCAAGCAAACCAACAGCAAAGUUAUGCACCAUCCAGAUGCUAAUGGUCAUAAAUGUGAUGAUAAUUGCCAAAUUUCAUAUCUUUAGAAGUGCAAGUGCGAGAAAAUGGCAAAACCAAGCAUACCCAGAUGACAAAAAUCUCAAAAUU
rnacentral:misc_RNA from 1 species